rnacentral:rRNA from 1 species
UGCUCGAGUGGCGAACGGGUGAGUAACACGUGAGUAACCUGCCCUUGACUUUGGGAUAACUUCAGGAAACUGGGGCUAAUACCGGAUAGGAGCUCCUGCUGCAUGGUGGGGGUUGGAAAGUUUCGGCGGUUGGGGAUGGACUCGCGGCUUAUCAGCUUGUUGGUGGGGUAGUGGCUUACCAAGGCUUUGACGGGUAGCCGGCCUGAGAGGGUGACCGGCCACAUUGGGACUGAGAUAUGGCCCAG